GCAGCCGCCGCGGUAAGACAGAGGAUGCAAGCGUUAUCCGGAAUGAUUGGGCGUAAAGCGCCUGUAGGUGGCUUUUCAAGUCCGCCGUCAAAUCCCAGGGCUCAACCUUGGACAGGCGGUGGAAACUACCAAGCUGGAGUACGGUAGGGGCAGAGGGAAUUUCCAGUGGAGCGGUGAAAUGCGUUGAGAUCGAAAAGAACACCAACAGCGAAAGCACUCUGCUGGGACGACACUGACACUAAGAGACGAAAGCUAGGGGAGCAAAUGGGAUUAGAUACCCCCGUAGUCCCUGUCUCUUAUAC
rnacentral:rRNA from 1 species